rnacentral:rRNA from 1 species
CCUACGGGAGGCAGCAGUGGGGAAUAUUGCGCAAUGGGCGAAAGCCUGACGCAGCGACGCCGCGUGAGGGAUGAAGGUCUUAGGAUCGUAAACCUCUGUCAGCAGGGAAGAAAGGUCACUGUGCUAAUCAGCAGUGAAUUGACGGUACCUGCAAAGGUAGCACCGGCUAACUCCGUGCCCGCAGCCGCGGUAAUACGGAGGGUGCGAGCGUUAAUCGGAAUUACUGGGCGUAAGGCGCUCGUAGGCGGUAUGUCAAGUCAAGGGUGAAAUCCCGGCGCUCAACGUGGGAACUGCCUUUGACACUGGCAAACUGGAGUGUGGGAGAGGAUAGUGGAAUUCCAGGUGUAGGAGUGAAAUCCGUAGAUAUCUGGAGGAACAUCAGUGGCGAAGGCGACUAUCUGGCACAUAACUGACGCUGAGGAGCGAAAGCGUGGGGAGCAAACAGGAUUAGAUACCCGUGUAGUC